rnacentral:lncRNA from 1 species
GGGGCGCCCAGGACCCCGGCCCCUGCGCCUGGCGGCGGGGUCGCGUCCGCUGCUCUGGGGCCGCUGCUCUGAGGGGGACACCUUGAAGGUUUCUUCUUCCCGGCUCCUAAUGAAACGGUAAAACCGUCCGGCUGGAAACAUUCCUAGAGAUGAUCUCGCCGACCACCUCGUUUUUAUUAACGGGACGAUGGAGAAGACGGGAGGCGACGGAGAGUUGGUCGUACGCCCCCCCUCAGCGAUUUGUUUUAGAAGGCAUGAGGAAAAAGUAAAUAAAUAAAAGGCAUGAGGACACUACGCCGAGAGGCGAGCACGGAGAAAGCGUUCGUGCCAAUAGACAUCUUCUGAAUUAAAAAAAUAAACACUUGCACAAAGCUCACAGACUACGUAGAGAAAUGAAGAAGACCUUUCCUCUUUCCAGUAUUGGUGCCUGGCCAGAAAUUUACUGUAUAUUAAAGUUAUUUUUUAGUUACUGUUGUCGAAAGAAGUUGCUUCUAAUUUAAUCCUUAGAAUUGAAACACCAGGUGGUUUUAGCAGAGUCUGAGUUGGCACUGACGAUUCUGGUUAUGAAAAUCAAAACCAUUAAAAGUCUUAGCACUGGACCUCCAUAGCUGUGGAGCAGGCACUUGGGGGCACCAGCCACUGCUGAGUGCUUUGGGCAGCUAUCAGAAGCCCAUCUGCCCUUUAAGCCUCAACAGAACAGAGGGACUUCUACACAGAGGUGGAGCUGGAGCAGGCAGGAAGAAAAUGGUGGUGAAGACAACUAUUCUGCAGGUGCACUUGGAGGCUUCACAAAACCAUUUGGGGAGAGAUAAGGAAGUUUGACUUUUCUGCAGAAUGAAUGGAUGCAGAGCCAAAGAAUUACUGUUUUGCAACUGUUGCUGCAGCUCUUUAUUUACUGUAAAGGAUGAUGUUGCCUAACAAACAGGUCUACAAGGGAAGAGCAUUUAUUGCUAAGGUAUCUCUGAAGCUCUUUAAAAUCUAUUAAAGAUAAAAUGUAAAAUAUAAAAAUAUAUAAAAUAUGUACACAUACUCCAAAUACAAUUUAAUAACCUGAGUCAAAAAGUGUAUUUUUUAAUAUAAAGGUUAAAAUUAAGUUAGUACACAGAUGUCAGAAGUCCUUUCAUUAUAACUAAUCUGUUAGAAAUAUAAACCUCAAUCAACUGACUUUUCAACAUCCUUUUGUCUUUAAUGAUGAGACUGUGGUUUGAAUGUAUGUCUAAGUUUCUGGUGUUGAAUUUAACUGGACAGACUUGCUUCUUACCAGGAUUAGCAACUCUUUGAAUUCUAGUUAUAUAGCUACCUCUUUCUGAAUUUCACUCCACCUACCUUUCUUACUAUUCCCUUUUUGGUCCUCAACUGCCUAUUUAAUAUUUACUCAAUUUUUCUUAUAGUGUGUAUUAUGACUAGCUCUCACAUGUUAAAAAUGAGAUUUGAAUUUUUUAGUAGGAUAAUUUCUCUUUCAUCUCUAAAUGUGAACGAAAUCUAGCUGGACCUAUCAAGAUAGACCCUAACUCCAGAACAAGACUUGUUCAAUGAAGAUUAUGGACAGAAUAACUGAUAGGCUUUUAUUACCAUGGAGUCUUCAUUCAUUCAACAAAUGCUUAUUGAGAAUUAGUUAGGUGCCAGACAGUACGCUAGGCACUGUAACAUAGCAAUGAAUAAAUACUAUCUCUUUACUCUUGGUGCUUAAGCUGUUAAGAAAGACAGAAUAAUAUAAAACAAUGUUUAAGUAUUAUGCAUAUUAAGAUAGGAGAAUAUUGAACUCUUAUCCCUAAAACUAUGGUUUUUAAUCUUUUAGAUGGAGCAAGUCAUAGAUUCCUUGAAUUUGAUCAAUGUCCUAGACCUUUGCCCCAGAAAACAAACAUACCCCAAAAAUCUUGCCAAUAAUUUCAAGUUGUUCAUGGGUCUUUUGAAACCUUUCCAUGAGCUCUGGGUUUAGAAUUCCUACCCUAAAUGAUAAACACCAAAAUCAGAUGAGACCAGAAGCAGAAAUCCUAAGAUAUUUGAAGGGGAAGAUAAGACUAAAUGCUGAGGAGUAAGAGCAGCAAGAAUGAAAAAUAAGUUUCCACAGCUUAUCUUACAUGUGUUAUCUUCAGAUAACACAAAUAAUGUUUCCUGGAACAAUCCACUACGGAGGACUCAAUGCCCUACCAAGUGAACAUUGCCCUGCCACACAAGAACACCUUAGGAAGCUACCAACUCCUUCACCUUUGCUCUUGUGCAACAUGAUGGGUGGUAAGAUGUGCUACAGAUUAAAACUAAGCAGGGUAAAGGGGAUGAACAAUUACUAGGGUUUUGUGUGUUUGUGCUACUUCACAUAGUUCUACAGAAUGUUAAGGAAGCUGUCUGAUAAGGUGAUAUUAGAAAAAAUUAUAGAAGUAAGAGCAAAUCAUGUGGUUUUCUGGGGGAACCUUUCAAAGGGAGCAGCAAAAGGGGGGAGACCAGAGGGCAGAGCAGAAUGAUGAAUGUGGAAGAAUGGUGGGAAAUGGGGUGAGAGAGGGAGUUCCAGUAGGUGGGUCAGGUCCCCAGGGUAGGGAUGAAAGGAUCAGGGAUAAGGGAUAAGGAGAAUAUGAUGGGACCAGACUCUGACAGAGUCAUAGAAUGAAUGCUGUUAGUAAUGGAAAAAUUGCUCAGUGGGACGUCUGGGUGGCUCAGUGGUUGAGUGUCUGCCUUUGGCUCAGGGUGUGAUCCUGGGAUCCCAGGAUCAAGUCCCACAUCGGGCUCCCUGCAUGGAGCCUGCUUCUCCCUCUGCCUGUGUCUCUGCCUCUCUCUCUCUGUGUCUCUCAUGAAUAAAUAAAUAAAAUCUAAAAAAAAAAAAAAAAAAGAAAAAAAAA